rnacentral:tRNA from 1 species
AUUUAUAUAGUUUAAUAUAAAACCUUACAUUUUCAUUGUAAAAAUAAAAUUAUAUUUUUAUAAAUU